UCAGAACGAACGCUGGCGGCGUGCUUAACACAUGCAAGUCGAACGAGAAAGAGCCCGCAAGGGCUUAAGUAAAGUGGCGCACGGGUGAGUAACGCGUGGGUAAUCUACUCUAAAGACUGGGAUAACGUUCCGAAAGGGACGCUAAUACCAGAUAAGACCACGAAGUCUUUGGACUUUGAGGUAAAAGGUGGCAGCUUGUCUGUUAUCACUUUUGAAUGAGCCCGCGUACCAUUAGCUAGUUGGUAGGGUAAUGGCCUACCAAGGCUACGAUGGUUAGCUGGUCUGAGAGGAUGAUCAGCCACACCGGAACUGGAACACGGUCCGGACUCCUACGGGAGGCAGCAGUGGGGAAUUUUGCGCAAUGGGAGAAAUCCUGACGCAGCAACGCCGCGUGAGUGAUGAAGGCCUUCGGGUUGUAAAGCUCUGUCAGUUGGGAAGAAACGCCUACGUUUACUGCGUAGGCUAUGACGGUACCAACGAAGGAAGCACCGGCUAACUCUGUGCCAGCAGCCGCGGUAAUACAGAGGGUGCAAGCGUUGUUCGGAAUUAUUGGGCGUAAAGGGCGCGUAGGCGGCUCUGUAAGUCAGAUGUGAAAUCCCCCGGCUCAAUCGGGGAAGUGCAUUUGAAACUGCAGGGCUUGAGUAUGGGAGAGGAAAGUGGAAUUCCUAGUGUAGAGGUGAAAUUCGUAGAUAUUAGGAAGAACAUCGGUGGCGAAGGCGGCUUUCUGGACCAAUACUGACGCUAAGGCGCGAAAGCAUGGGGAGCAAACAGGAUUAGAUACCCUGGUAGUCCAUGCCGUAAACUAUGAACACUAGGUGUUGAAGGAGUUAAACCCCUCAGUGCCGAAGCUAACGCAUUAAGUGUUCCGCCUGGGAAGUACGGUCGCAAGACUAAAACUCAAAGGAAUUGACGGGGGCCCGCACAAGCGGUGGAGUAUGUGGUUUAAUUCGACGCAACGCGAAGAACCUUACCUGGGUUUGACAUCCCUUGACCGCUAUGGAAACAGUUUAGUGCCUUCGGGAGCAUUGAGACAGGUGCUGCAUGGCUGUCGUCAGCUCGUGUCGUGAGAUGUUGGGUUAAGCCCCGCAACGAGCGCAACCCUCGUCCUUAGUUGCCAGCAUUCAGUUGGGCACCCUAGGGAGACUGCCCCGGUUAACGGGGAGGAAGGUGGGGAUGACGUCAAGUCCUCAUGGCCUUUAUAUCCAGGGCUACACACGUACUACAAUGGUCGGUACAAAGGGUCGCAAAACCGCGAGGUGGAGCCAAUCCCAAAAAGCCGAUCUCAGUUCGGAUUGGAGUCUGCAACUCGACUCCAUGAAGUCGGAAUCGCUAGUAAUCGUAGAUCAGCAUGCUACGGUGAAUACGUUCCCG
rnacentral:rRNA from 1 species